GAAAAUAGCUCAGUUGGUAGAGCAUCACCUUGCCAAGGUGGAGGUCGCGGGUUCGAAUCCCGUUUUUC
rnacentral:tRNA from 1 species